CACGUAGGGUGCGAGCGUUGUCCGGAUUUAUUGGGCGUAAAGGGCCCGUAGGCGGUUUGGUAAGUCGGGUGUGAAAGCCCCGGGCUCAACCUGGGAAUUGCAUUCGAGACUGCGUAGCUAGGGUGCGGAAGAGGGAAGCGGAAUUUCCGGUGUAGCGGUGAAAUGCGUAGAUAUCGGAAGGAACACCAGUGGCGAAAGCGGCUUCCUGGUCCAGCACCGACGUUCAGGCACGAAAGCGUGGGGAGCAAACAGG
rnacentral:rRNA from 1 species